rnacentral:lncRNA from 1 species
UUUUUUUCUUUGCAUGCUCUAUAUGAGAUUCUUAUUUGCUACUUCAUGCUGAUAUAACUUUGACUGUUUUUAUGUUAUAUGUGGUUAUAUAUAUAUAUAUUGCCAAAAACAACCUGUACAUGCAAUUCCAGGAUGAGAACAAACAAAAAGUAAACCCUUUAAUAACAAUGAAUACUCAAAAGAAGUCCAGGAUGAAUGGAGAGUCAUUCUAAUUUCAAUCGAAAAUAAGGAUAUAUUGGAUAGGGACGGUUUAGCCGUGCAACAGGUCUGCGAUGAUUCCACCAAACAUCUGUGGCACAUUGGCACUCUCUUUACAGAAGUCGUCGAGUAAAGACUUCUUUUUUCAUAUGUUCACAUAUGAUUUCAAUAUAGAUAGAUCCUUCAAAGACACGGGUUCUUGUCUCCCCAUAAAAUGUUCCCAUAUAUAAAGGCAACAGUAGUAUACCGCUGUUCAAACUCAUAAAUCCAUGGACAAAAAACAAAAUCGGGGUAACAAACUAUAACGG